GUGGGGAAUUUUGGACAAUGGGCGCAAGCCUGAUCCAGCCAUGCCGCGUGAGUGAAGAAGGCCUUCGGGUUGUAAAGCUCUUUCAGCUGGAAAGAAAUCGUAUCUAUUAAUACUAGGUGCGGAUGACGGUACCAGCAGAAGAAGCACCGGCUAACUACGUGCCAGCAGCCGCGGUAAUACGUAGGGUGCGAGCGUUAAUCGGAAUUACUGGGCGUAAAGCGUGCGCAGGCGGCUUUUUAAGCCAGAUGUGAAAUCCCCGGGCUUAACCUGGGAACUGCAUUUGGAACUGGAAGGCUAGAGUGUAGCAGAGGGGGGUAGAAUUCCACGUGUAGCAGUGAAAUGCGUAGAGAUGUGGAGGAAUACCGAUGGCGAAGGCAGCCCCCUGGGCUAACACUGACGCUCAUGCACGAAAGCGUGGGGAGCAAACAGGAUUAGAUACCCCGGUAGUCC
rnacentral:rRNA from 1 species